CGCAGAUGAAGACCGUUUCCUUCAGGAUGGCUUGUCUGAGGGCAAGAAACCACCCUCACAACCCAUAACUUGCCCUCGGGAUAGUUGUACCAACAGUGGCUGUUGUUUUGUCUGAAUCCAGGUGACUGACUCUAUUGUGGAUACUGGAAAGCUGCUAGCAGCUGCUUGGCAAAGUGGCAAGAGCGGAUCCUUGGCAGUGACAGACCCUCAAAGUGCUUAAGGAACACAUUGGAAGGUUAUCACUGUCUUGCACAGAUGCAGAGCUGCACAGGUCCCAGAAAAUUGGAAGCCUCACCUUGACAAUGUCCUGCGGGUACCUGCUGUACCAAUUCCAAACAGUGUCAUAGGUCCAGGAACUGAAACCCAGACUCCUGAAACAUACUAAGGGGACCCAAUGGCACCUGCCUUUCCCAACUGCCACCAGAAUGGCAUCUGAGGAAACAUCUUACCUUGUGGAAUGUGAGAAGACAGAUUAAGCUUGAAGACAGAUAAAAAGAGACCAUAGAAGUGAGGAGAGGAAGAGGAACAGGCCAGCAAAGAAUAUGCUAGUGCAGAAGGUCAAAAGAUGCAGUUCAGGGCUGAAUUCAGUUCCAGGCAACUUGAUUCAUCAUCACCAUCAUGUUUUCUUUCCUCCUCCCUCCCAAUCUCUUUCCUUGUGUCUCAUGCCUUUUUAAGAUUGUACGUCUGAAGGCAAGAACUGUCUAAUUAUUCAUUCUUGUAAACAUCUCUGGAAUCC